CUACGUGCCAGCAGCCGCGGUAAUACGGAGGGUGCGAGCGUUAAUCGGAAUAACUGGGCGUAAAGGGCACGCAGGCGGUGACUUAAGUGAGGUGUGAAAGCCCCGGGCUUAACCUGGGAAUUGCAUUUCAUACUGGGUCGCUAGAGUACUUUAGGGAGGGGUAGAAUUCCACGUGUAGCGGUGAAAUGCGUAGAGAUGUGGAGGAAUACCGAAGGCGAAGGCAGCCCCUUGGGAAUGUACUGACGCUCAUGUGCGAAAGCGUGGGGAGCAAACAGGAUUAGAUACCCUGGUAGUCCACGCUGUAAACGAUGUCGAUUUGGGGGUUGAGCUUUGAGCUUGGCGCCCGUAGCUAACGUGAUAAAUCGACCGCCUGGGGAGUACGGCCGCAAGGUUAAAACUCAAAUGAAUUGACGGGGGCCCGCACAAGCGGUGGAGCAUGUGGUUUAAUUCGAUGCAACGCGAAGAACCUUACCAGCGUUUGACAUC
rnacentral:rRNA from 1 species